GAACUUUCCAGAGAUGGAUUGGUGCCUUCGGGAACUCUGAGACAGGUGCUGCAUGGCUGUCGUCAGCUCGUGUUGUGAAAUGUUGGGUUAAGUCCCGCAACGAGCGCAACCCUUAUCCUUUGUUGCCAGCGGUUAGGCCGGGAACUCAAAGGAGACUGCCAGUGAUAAACUGGAGGAAGGUGGGGAUGACGUCAAGUCAUCAUGGCCCUUACGAGUAGGGCUACACACGUGCUACAAUGGCGCAUACAAAGAGAAGCGACCUCGCGAGAGCAAGCGGACCUCAUAAAGUGCGUCGUAGUCCGGAUUGGAGUCUGCAACUCGACUCCAUGAAGUCGGAAUCGCUAGUAAUCGUGGAUCAGAAUGCCACGGUGAAUACGUUCCCGGGCCUUGUACACACCGCCCGUCACACCAUGGGAGUGGGUUGCAAAAGAAGUAGGUAGCUUAACCUUCGGGAGGGCGCUUACCACUUUGUGAUUCAUGACUGGGGUGAAGUCGUAACAAGGUAAGCGUAGUGCU
rnacentral:rRNA from 1 species